UCCGCUGGAUAAAUGAGGACGUCUUUACAAAAUUUAACUACUGAAAAAUUCCGUGAUCAUCCCAAAACCUGGUGUCACAAGUACAUGAGCAAUUUCUAGGAAAUAAUGUAGUACAACAACCGUCUAGAAUACAAUAUUGGACAGAAAGUAAAUACAGUAAUUUGAAAGAGACUCUGUUGGCUGCAUGUCGUCUCAAGAAGUGCAGCUCACCUAAGUCUUUGUAUCAAUCAUGCUGCUACGCCCACUAGGCCACUAGAGAUGCAUGUGCCUGUGCAACAAAAAUGCACAGCAAGUGUAGUAUGAGUACGAAAACAACAUGCACCCAAUGAAUAUCCCGUCUUAUCUCGAAGAAGUAGAGACGAGAAGUCGACUUCGACACUUACUAAUGGUCCAAUGAUAAUAUAGUAAAAGUGUGAGAAAUUCAUGGAUUUCAUAAGCAAAAUUAAAAUCAUAAAGCCGGAAAGCAGGUAAACAACUUCUCAAAUAACAAGGAUUUCCAAAGAUUUACUUUUCAUUAUCUUUAUCAGUUUAUCUCUGGCCAGGAAAAGCAAUUAUCAACAUUAAAAAUUCUUAGGCAAGUAAUACAAGCAUGCGCUUAUCAUGCCGAUGUCGUACGACCCGAUCCAACAGAAAUGUAAAAUGUGCAAUACUGAGGGUCGAACGACGCGAACCAUAGAUGCAUCUAUUACCCCGCUUGCAAAUCAUACAUGCGACACGGUCAACAUAAAUAAACAAACACCCUGCUAGCAAAUCAUCCAUGCGACGCAGGUACACAUAGAAAUACAUGCUCAAAUAACAAAUUAAAAAUUUAUCGGGGAACGUUUAUCCAAAUAAAAUCCAAUUCUCUUUUAGCAAUUUAAGAAAAUAAAGUUUAAUCCCUUUUUGAAAUUCAUUUACCAAUUCGAUAAGAUUUAAACAAUUCAACUGCCAACAAGAUUAUAGAUAUUCCAAGUAUAGCAUGCUUUUGGGUCCUAGACUACCGGAUUUACACAUAAUAGUAGCUACGCACGGACUCUCGUUACCUCAUGCAUACGUAGCCCUCACAAAUAGGAGAACAUAACCAAUUAUUUCACCUAUGGGGAUAAUUCCCUCUUACAUGAUUAGAAAGGAGACUCACUUCGCUCCGAAAUUUCCAUAACCGGCUUCCAAGCCCUUCCAACGACUCAAAUUGAUGUACAACGCCCCAAAACUAUUCAAAUAACUGGCAAACCAAUAAAAAUUCACUCUAAUACUUGUAACAAUUAAAAUUAUAUAAGUUCUCAUCUCCGCUCGAAAAGUUGACCAAAAUGCCCUUGGGCCCACGUGCCUGGAUUCCGAAAUUUCUCGGAGAUAAAUUCUGCCCAUAGCUUUACUAACUCAAAUAUACAAUUUGUUCUAAUUUUCAUGCUCAAAUUCAAGGUAAAAGUCCAAAAUUCUAAAUUCUAGGUCUUUCCUAAAAAUUCCAAAUUUAUACUAAUUUUCCAUGUCUAAAUCCAUGUAAGAUCACAUAUUUAACUCAAAAAUAAGAAGAAAUCACUUACCUAGUGUUGCUUGGUGAAAAUCCCUCCUUGAGCUCUCAAAAAUCGUCCAAG
rnacentral:lncRNA from 1 species